UUGCAGGACAUCUUGGCUUCUGAGGGGCCCUCGAUGGCUAGGCCGAGGCCUCCGGUGCCAGCUCCCCUGCAAGGCAACACCCUUCUCAGCUCUGCUAGGAUCGGUCACAGGCAAUGCAUGGAAAUCAGCCUGCCACAGAACACUACCAGUGGCAAUGAACCCAGACCUUGCUACUGAACACAGGCCAAAGAAGAGUGAUCUCAGACUGCCACGGAACACAUAAAAUGGCAUAGGACCCAACGGGAUGCCACAAAACAGGCAAGGACGUAUAAUCCAGGCCUACCACAGGACACAGGCAAUGGCACAGAACCUGGGGCCCGUCACAGAAUGCCACGGAAGGGCAAUUCCACACUGCCUGGGCCAUUCCACACAGCACAGGUGAGGCCAGUCAGCUGUGGCCAUGCUGGCCCCACCUCCCCUGGACAGUACUAACGUGGCACCACUUUCUUGGCCUGGUGGAUGAUGGGCACGGAGGGGACGUGUGACGGCAAGGGCUCUGAGCGGCAGGGAGAGAACCAAGUGGCGGGAGUCACCACCCGAGGGCCUGGGGUAUGGGUGCCCAUCACAUAUGCCCCCACAACCCUUGCAAGGUGGCACCUGUCUGUAUACUUUGCUGUGGUCUCCGGACCCUCCCUGGGAUAGUAGGUGGAGAGAUGACCAGGAUGAGAUCUCUCCAGAGCUACCCCCUGCCCCCGCCCCAUGGAUAUUCUACCUAUUUUAAUGCCGGCUCCCCUCCCACCCCUGGAUUUAGUGGUUCGUUUCCCAUAAACCCUCAGCCCCGGAA